CAAAGAAAGGAGGAUACCGGCGCCGUUGAGGCUUAAUAGGGAAUCCCGUGAAAAACGGGAGCGGUCCCGCCGCUGUAACCCCGCCCCUUGCGGUUAAUGCAAGGAGGACCCUUUCGGCACUAUCGCGCCACUGUUUCGAUGGAAUCGGGACGGGAAGGCCGCCGGAAGGGAGGGGGAGCCAGAAGACCUGCCGGUAUCUUAAGGAUCGU
rnacentral:ncRNA from 2 species